UAUUCAGAAAUCGGCAUGUUUGCAUGCUUUGAGGCGCUUCUUUGAAAGCAGCAUUAACUGUAUGUGAACCGUUCAGGUUAUCAGAUCAUCUGUGGCCGCUACAAGCAGCCUAUUAAUGCCUUGUUUUUUGUUUUUUUUUUCCCGAUGUAUGGUUGUUUAACCAACAGUUAUCCCACUGGAGCUCUGGUUUAAUAAAUAAUUAAAGUGGACGGAGGGGAGCUGCAGCUGAUUUGCUGAUGUCAGGGAGCCAGUGCAGCAUUUCAUGGUGCAGGGUGUAUACGCGCGGUGCCAUCUGCCUCGAUCGGUGCUCUCAGCAAACCUCACACAUGCAAGCCCGGCAAGAAAGAUGCUGCCAACUCUCAAGAUUUGGGCAUUGUUUUCUUUGUCGCUCUGUUUCCUGUCUCAACCGGGUCAUUUUAAGAAGGUUUUCCGAUGUCCUUCAGCAUGCAGCUGCUCCAGGGAGUCUAUCAUUUGCGUCGGGUCCUCCUAUAUCCCAAGAAAUACCCCCAACGACAUCAGUUCUUUGAGUAUCGUCAAUGGGACUUUCUCCGAGAUCAAAGAGGCAAUGUUUGCUCACAUGCCAUCUCUCCAGCUACUGCUUUUGAAUUCCAAUUCUCUUACAACUGUAAGGGAUGAUGCAUUCUCAGGUCUUCCACAUCUGGAGUAUCUGUUCAUUGAGAGUAAUAAGAUUGAGACUGCAUCCAAAUAUGCCUUCAGAGGACUCAGGGACUUGACUCACUUGUCUUUGGCAAACAACAACAUUAAAGCCUUGCCCAGGGACCUCUUCAUUGACUUGGACUCACUGAUAGAGCUGGACCUGCGAGGCAAUGCCUUUGAGUGUGACUGCCGUGCCAAGUGGCUGAUGACAUGGCUGAAGAACACCAAUGCCACAGUGUCGGAUGUCGUGUGUGCCGGACCGGAGGACAUGAAAGACAAGCGCCUCAAUGAUAUGACCAGCCUGCACAACGAAUGCAUCUCAACGGAUUUCGUCCUCCAUCAGUCCGUGGCAUCCGAGUCUCUGUCUGUUGACACAUUCAGCUAUAAGAAUGAUGUCUAUGUGACUAUUGCUGCUCCCAGCACAGACAGCUGCAUGGUUUUCCAAUGGGACCACAUAGAAAUGAACUUCAGGACUUAUGAUAACAUCACAGGUCAGUCCAUUGUGGGGUGCAAGUCAGUUGUCAUCCAGGACCAGGUGUUUGUCAUUGUGGCUCAGCUCUUUGGUGGUUCCCACAUCUACAAAUUUGAUGAGGACCAAAGCAGGUUCAGCAAGUUCCAGGACAUUGAGGUGUCCAAGAUCUCCAAGCCCAAUGACAUUGAGGCAUUCCAGAUUGGCUCUGAUUGGUUCUUUGUGAUUGCUGACAGCUCGAAAGCGGGCCUGUCCACCCUCUACAAGUGGAACGAUAAGGGCUUUUAUUCAUACCAAUCGCUGCACGAGUGGUACCGCGACACAGAUGCAGAGUUCUUGGACUUGGAUGGGAAGGCUCACCUUAUCUUGGCAAGCCGCUCACAGGUCCCUGUGAUCUACCAGUGGAGCAGGAACAACCAGAAGUUUGUCCUGCAGGGCGAGAUCCCCAACAUGGAGGAUGUUGUAGCCGUAAAGCACUUCCGGAUCAAGGAGGAACUCUACCUGGCGAUGACACGCUAUAUUGGUGACUCCAAAGUUCUACGUUGGGGUGCCAAACAGUUUGCAGAGGUCCAGGCAGUGCCCUCACGAGGCUCCAUGAUUCUCCAGCCGUUCUCUUUCAAAGAACGUUACUACCUGGCCCUGGGAAGCGAUUACACCUUCUCGCAGAUCUAUCUGUGGGACGAUGAGAAGAAACUCUUUGACCGCUUCAAGGAGGUGUACAUACAGGCACCGCGCUCCUUCACUGUGGUUUCCACUGACCGCAGGGACUUCAUCUUCACCUCUAGCUUCAAGGGAAACACACAGAUCUAUGAGCACAUCAUCAUUGACUUGAGCUUGUGAGGGGCUGUGCUUUAUUGUCCCUCCUGCAAUCGAACGUCUUCCACUAAAAAGAUACAUUUUUGAAGGGAAAAGAAAGGACCAGAACAGACUUGAUGAACUGUUAAAAUAUCAAUUACUACAUAGUUUUCUGUCACAAAUAAGAGCUGGGUCAAGUAGUGUUUGGAAUCCUUUUAGUUUCUUAAGGUGUCUUGACUAUUUCUCAAUGGUCUUGUCCUAUUAUCUGUUCUCAUGGCCUCUCAGACUUUCAGAGAUACUACCAUUUCACAAAGAGUGAGAGGGAGAGUCAAGAGGGUGGACAUAAAAAUCCAGCUGACAUUCCUGAGGGUGGAAAGAUUUGAAAUAUAAUUAGAUCUAUUUGGAUGUAUACAUUUCAGUUUAAUGUCCCUGUGCUAAUGGUUUUAUUCCCCAAAAAAUAUACACCAGGACCUGAGAGAAAGAUCAUAUUACUACUGAGUGUGUAACAGGUGUGGUUGCCACUUACCUCAUGUCCUCUUACUCUGCGGUAAUGUACAGUAUGUUGCCUUAUCAGCACUGGGGCUCUGUGAUCUGAUGGGCCCACAGUGCCUCCCUCUGGCUGUGAUAAAGUAUCACACCUCUUUGCUUUUUCCAUACAGGGAAUGUCUUGAAAGCACAAACCUUUAAUUAUCGUAUCUGAGACCCCAGCCCUUAGAGUGUAGCUAAGUGGAAAAUGUUGCUGUAGGUGCUAUAGACUAUAUUGCGUACAGUAAAAAAUGAAGAAGUGGUUUGUUGUUUUAGAAGGUGAAGUAUUUAGGACUGGAUAUAACUAAUGCCUUUUUAGACAAACAUAUAAUGAAAAAUCCCCAUUCACCAGUAGAUAACCUUUUAGUUCGGAUGAACUAUAAGUGACAAAGCAGAUAGAAGCUCUUUUUAUCCAUUUAGUUGAAAGGACCUGUGUUUAGGUGAUGUCAGGGAAGUUAAACCUACUUAAGUUUGAAAAAAUAACCACAGUCGCUGGACUACUGAUGUAAUUAAACUUUUUUUAGUCAGUGGACUCAAAUAAAUACAUUUGAUAAGAGGACAUCAUUUGUUUGUCCAAAAGUUAAGGAAACAAAAUGUUUAUGUAAAUAUAUCCACUUAAGUUGAGAGGCUAUUUCAGUCUGUCUUUCUGUUCUUUGAAAAUACUGAAUGUUGACUUACAAGCUACAAAAUGUACAUAAAACAAGGACUGCAAUGCCACUACCUGUUUGUCACACAAAAGUCUGAACUGAUCUUUGCACUUACUUUAAGAAAAAUAAAAUGUUACUGCAGCUUACAAGAGCAUGACAGGCAGAAAGGUGUUUGCCAAAUUCUUUUUCGAUAAACAAACUCAGAAGUCUAAAAGUGCAUCUACUCAUUAAGUGAAUGGUAAUGCAAAUAAAAAAGAACAUAAUGGAAUAUGCAAGCUUUACAAGAUGCAGAUUCUUUUGUAUGAUUUAGUUUUUAAGCAUAUUGAAUGUUACUCUCAAAAUAUACUGUAGAUUUAAUCAGUUGUGUAUCAAAAUAAAUGUGUAAAAGUAUGAUUG